AUUGAACGCUGGCGGCAUGCCUUACACAUGCAAGUCGAACGGCAGCACGGGAGCAAUCCUGGUGGCGAGUGGCGAACGGGUGAGUAAAGUAUCGGAACGUGCCCAGUCGUGGGGGAUAACGUAGCGAAAGUUACGCUAAUACCGCAUACGAUCUAUGGAUGAAAGCGGGGGAUCGCAAGACCUCGCCCGAUUGGAGCGGCCGAUAUCAGAUUAGGUAGUUGGUGGGGUAAAGGCUCACCCAGCCCACGAUCUGUAGCUGGUCUGAGAGGACGACCAGCCACACUGGGACGGAGACACGGCCCAGACUCCUACGGGAGGCAGCAGUGGGGAAUUUUGGACAAUGGGCGAAAGCCUGAUCCAGCCAUGCCGCGUGCAGGAUGAAGGCCUUCGGGUUGUAAACUGCUUUUGUACGGAACGAAAAGGUUUGGCCUAAUAAGCUGAGCUCAUGACGGUACCGUAAGAAUAAGCACCGGCUAACUACGUGCCAGCAGCCGCCGUAA
rnacentral:rRNA from 1 species